rnacentral:rRNA from 1 species
GUCAUAUGCUUGUCUCAAAGAUUAAGCCAUGCAUGUCUAAGUAUAAACAACUUUAUACUGUAAAACUGCGAACGGCUCAUUAUAUCAGCAAUAAUUUAUUUGAUGAUUUCUUACUACAUGGAUAACUGUAGUAAUUCUAGAGCUAAUACAUGCGCAAAGUCCUGACUCGCGAGGGGAGGGAUGUAUUUAUUAGAUACAAAACCAAUGCGGGGUUUCCUCGCCAUUGUGUUGAAUCAUAGUAACUUAUCGAACGCCAUCGCCUUGUGCGGGGCGUAGAUCAUUCAAAUUUCUGCCCUAUCAGCUUUCGACGGUAGUGUAGUGGACUACCGUGGCGUCAACGGGUAACGGGGAAU